rnacentral:rRNA from 1 species
AAACCGGUUGAUCCUGCCGGACCCCACCGCUAUCGGGGUGGGACUAAGCCAUGCGAGUCGCGCGGCCCGGUCAGCGGGCAGCGGCGUACGGCUCAGUAAUACGUGGUCAACCUACUCGGAGCACCGGGAUAACCGCUGGGAAACUGCGGCUAAUCCCGGAUAGGUGAGGAGGCUUGGAACACCUCCUCGCCCAAAGGCUGGGUUGACGAUGCUCAGCCCAGCGGCUCCGAAUGGGACCACGGCCGAUCAGGUAGUUGGUGAGGUAACGGCUCACCAAGCCUAAGACCGGUACGGGCCCUGA